AGUUGAGACGUUGCUUGCAUGUUGACUGUUGCUGAUCUCAAGAUCUUUGUUUUUCCGUCGACGUGGAAGACAAAAUUGGACUGCUAAGACGGACCCUCUACUGGUAGACUUUGUAACAUUAGUUUGGGGACCCAGCGCAGAUGUCAUAGUGGCAUGAGUCACGACUAAAAGAGAAUCAGUGAACUGGAUCCGUCACAUACUUCAAAGAAGAGAUUUGACGUCCUGUGAGAAGACAUUGCUUAUUAACAGGCCUUGUUCCCCAAAUGGGAGCUUGAUGAAUUUUCUUUCCUUGCCUUGAGCUUGUGAACUAAAUGACCUCUACCUCCUGAAAUAAUCUUGAGAGGCAAAGGAUGUACCACUGAGAAGCCUUCUACCGUAUCCACCACCAACUAAUGCCCUCCAGGCUUUAUGCUGUUAUCACUGCACACACUUAACUG